AAUAAGGUCAUUUUUUAGGUUUUAGAUAUAAUGUUUUGACUCUUCGACUUAUUUGAAAUUUUUUUGCGAUUAAUAUUUUUAUUGCUGCUAGAUGAUAAAAUACAAAUAGUACUUUAUAUGUGACUAAUUUUUUUAAGUUUUUAUAUAAAUUUUUCAAAUAAGACGAAUGGUUAAAACAUUAGGCAUAGAAAUCGAAAAAUGACGUUAUU
rnacentral:pre_miRNA from 1 species